GAACAAUAUAUUAUAACACUGUGGUAAACAAAAGCUUUAGUUUGGCUGACAAUCUACAUGUAAAUGUUCCAUUAUUGAAGGAUGUGAUUUUGCAAUAUUGGAAUGCAAUUCAAUAACAAGCGUAGAGAACCUCUACAUCUCCCCGUUUAGCUGACAGAGCAUCAUGGGAGAUGUAGUCCACAGUAUCUCAGCUCACAGAGGUUAUAUAUACCUGCUCACAGCCACUCACCUUGUUAAUUAGCUGAAUAGCACUGUUUAAAUGUAUGAUUUACCAAAGGAUGUGAAGA